CGGGCAGUGGCGCAGCUUGGUAGCGCGCUUCGUUCGGGACGAAGAGGUCGUGGGUUCAAAUCCCGCCUGCCCGA
rnacentral:tRNA from 2 species